rnacentral:rRNA from 1 species
GACGAACGCUGGCGGCGUGCUUAACACAUGCAAGUCGAACGGUGAAGCGAGUGCUUGCACUCGUGGAUCAGUGGCGAACGGGUGAGUAACACGUGAGUAACCUGCCCAUCACUCUGGGAUAAGCACUGGAAACGGUGUCUAAUACUGGAUACGACCAGCCCUUGCAUGGGGUGUUGGUGGAAAGAUUUAUCGGUGAUGGAUGGACUCGCGGCCUAUCAGCUUGUUGGCGGGGUAAUGGCCCACCAAGGCGACGACGGGUAGCCGGCCUGAGAGGGUGACCGGCCACACUGGGACUGAGACACGGCCCAGACUCCUACGGGAGGCAGCAGUGGGGAAUAUUGCACAAUGGGCGAAAGCCUGAUGCAGCGACGCCGCGUGAGGGAUGACGGCCUUCGGGUUGUAAACCUCUUUCAGCAGGGAAGAAGCGAAAGUGACGGUACCUGCAGAAGAAGCACCGGCUAACUACGUG